rnacentral:rRNA from 1 species
AGUGAACGCUGGCGGUAGGCCUAACACAUGCAAGUCGAACGGCAGCACAGGAGAGCUUGCUCUCUGGGUGGCGAGUGGCGGACGGGUGAGGAAUACAUCGGAAUCUACUCUGUCGUGGGGGAUAACGUAGGGAAACUUACGCUAAUACCGCAUACGACCUACGGGUGAAAGCAGGGGACCUUCGGGCCUUGCGCGAUUGAAUGAGCCGAUGUCGGAUUAGCUAGUUGGCGGGGUAAAGGCCCACCAAGGCGACGAGCCGUAGCUGGUGUGAGAGGAUGAUCAUACAGACUGAAAAUGAGACACGGUCCAGACUCCUAAGGGAGUCAGCAGUGGUGAAUAUUGUAGAUGGGGCGCAAGCCUGAUCCAGCCAUACCGCGUGGGCGAAGAGGGCCUUCGGGUUGUAAAGCCCUUUUGUUGGGAAAGAAAGCCAGCUGGCUAAUACCCGGUUGGGAUGACGGUACCCAAAGAAUAAGCACCGGCUAACUUCGUGCCAGCCGCCGCCGUAA